GACGAACGCUGGCGGCGUGCCUAAUACAUGCAAGUAGAACGCUGAAGGAGGAGCUUGCUUCUCUGGAUGAGUUGCGAACGGGUGAGUAACGCGUAGGUAACCUGCCUGGUAGCGGGGGAUAACUAUUGGAAACGAUAGCUAAUACCGCAUAAGAGUAGAUGUUGCAUGACAUUUGCUUAAAAGGUGCAAUUUCAUCACUACCAGAUGGACCUGCGUUGUAUUAGCUAGUUGGUGGGGUAACGGCUCACCAAGGCGACGAUACAUAGCCGACCUGAGAGGGUGAUCGGCCACACUGGGACUGAGACACGGCCCAGACUCCUACGAGAGGCAGCAGUAGGGAAUCUUCGGCAAUGGACGGAAGUCUGACCGAGCAACGCCGCGUGAGUGAAGAAGGUUUUCGGAUCGUAAAGCUCUGUUGUAAGAGAAGAACGAGUGUGAGAGUGGAAAGUUCACACUGUGACGGUAUCUUACCAGAAAGGGACGGCUAACUACGUG
rnacentral:rRNA from 1 species